rnacentral:rRNA from 1 species
GAUGAACGCUGGCGGCGUGCCUAAUACAUGCAAGUCGAGCGAACGGACGCGAAUCUUGCUGCGCUGAUGUUACCGGCGGACGGGUGAGUCACACGUGGCUUACCUACCUAUAUGACUGAGAUCACUUAGGGAAACCGGAGCUCAUACCGGAUACUUUUUCGACCCGCAUGGUGUUGAAGUGAUAUACGGUCUUGCUGUCACCUAUCGAUGGAUCCGCUCUGCAUUAGCUGGUUGGUAAGCUAACGGCUUACCAAGUCAACGAUGGAUAACCGACGUGGGAGAGGGAUCGGCCACCUGGGAAGUGAGACGGCGUCCAGAGUCCUACGGGAGGCAGCAGUAGGGAACGGUCCGCAAUGGGCGGAAGCCUGGCGGAGCAGCGGCGCGCGAGAGGUGAAGGUGUUCGGAUCGUAAAAAUCUGUUAUGAGGGAAGAACAUAUGUGUAAGUAAAAGUACAGAUCGUGACGGUACCUAAUCAGAAAGCCACGGCUAACUACGUG